rnacentral:rRNA from 1 species
GUAGGGAAUAUUGCACAAUGGAGGAAACUCUGAUGCAGCGACGCCGCGUGAGUGAUGAAGGCCUUCGGGUCGUAAAGCUCUGUCGCAGGGGAAUAACACAAUGAAGGUACCCUGUAAGAAAGGAUCGGCUAACUUCGUGCCAGCAGCCGCGGUAAGACGAGGGAUCCUAGCGUUGUUCGGAAUCAUUGGGCGUAAAGCGGAUGUAGGUGGCUAUGUAAGUCAGAUGUGAAAGCCUGGGGCUCAACCCCAGAAGUGCAUUUGAUACUGCGUAGCUUGAGUGUCGGAGAGGUUACUAGAAUUGUUGGUGUAGUGGUGAAAUACGUAGAUAUCAACAGGAAUACCGGAGGCGAAGGCGGGUAACUGGCCGAACACUGACACUGAUAUCCGAAAGCGUGGGGAUCAAACAGGAUUAGAUACCCGGGUAGUCC